AGUUUGAUUAUGGCUCAGGACGAACGCUGGCGGCGUGCNUAAUACAUGCAAGUAGAACGCUGAAGGAAUAGCUUGCUAUUCUGGAAGAGUUGCGAACGGGUGAGUAACGCGUAGGUAACCUACCUCAUAGCGGGGGAUAACUAUUGGAAACGAUAGCUAAUACCGCAUAAGAAUACUUAUUGCAUGAUAAGUAUUUAAAAGGAACAACUGUUUCACUGUGAGAUGGACCUGCGUUGUAUUAGCUAGUUGGUAAGGUAACGGCUUACCAAGGCGACGAUACAUAGCCGACCUGAGAGGGUGAUCGGCCACACUGGGACUGAGACACGGCCCAGACUCCUACGGGAGGCAGCAGUAGGGAAUCUUCGGCAAUGGGGGCAACCCUGACCGAGCAACGCCGCGUGAGUGAAGAAGGUUUUCGGAUCGUAAAGCUCUGUUGUCAGCCAAGAAUGUAUGUGAGA
rnacentral:rRNA from 1 species